rnacentral:rRNA from 1 species
CGUUGAAGACUACGACGUUGAUAGGUUGGAUGUGGAAGUGCGGUGACGCAUGAAGCUGACCAAUACUAAUUGCUCGUGAGGCUUGACUAU